AAAUAAAAAAGAGGGACCAUCUAUUUAUGAAAAGUGGUCUCUCCUUUUUUUUUUAAUUAAAUAAAAAAAAUUAUUUACUUUUUAAAGUCUGAUUUCCAAAGAAAUAACAAAUAAAAAAAUAAAAUAAAAAUUAAAGGCUAAAAACUCGGUAAAGAGGCUAAACCCAAACCCUAAUAUCAUUUCCUCAAAAACCCAACCCCCACCGUCUCUCUAUCCUCUCUCAAUCUCUCUCUAUAUCAUGCUCUUCAAUGCCGGAAUCUGACUCCGAUUGAGCGGCUACAACUUUCUCGCUCUCGCAAUCCCUAACCCAAUGCUGAAGUUCGUCGAUCUCGAGUCUUUGCCGCCGUCGACGGUGCUUCCGACGCUCGAAUCAGGCGAAACUCUCACCAUCACAACUCCAGGCGAAGUUCGUCUUUCUCUUGCUCGAAAAUGCUUCUUGGGAGCUCGGUAUUUAGAAAUUGAGUGAAAGAAAUCGUGAUAGUUCGAAGAAGAGGACUUCAAAAUAACGAGGUGGCAGACUUGGCUAUCAAUAUUUUGAAGAAACAAUUUCUUUCCCUCGAUUUGUACGUAUUCUUCGGAAGACAUUGAUAAAAUGCGAGAUUUGUGGAUUAAAUAUGUUCUUGAUCAUGAGCCAGAGGAAGAAGAUUCGUGAUGGACGAGCUUAAUGAAGAAUGAGCUGAGCUUGAGUACGAGAUUAGCUUAGUGUUAAUCACUGUACUUGUAAACCUAGCUCCACUUUUGACUUUUUUCUGUUUGAGGAGAAGCCCUACAUUUGAGUUUUGUUUUUUAAUAUUAGAAUUAAUGUAAAUUUUGGGUGUUAUAUAUAUAUAGAAAAUUUAUUUUAUAUAUAUAUGCAUUGGUAUUGCAGGAAUAUGAAUUGCAAAAGGGUCGGGAAUCAAUACGAAUAUAAUAAUAAUAAUUUUUUUUUUUUUAAAAAAGCGAGCAUAGAGAGACCAUCUAUCUUAAAUAAGUGGUCUCAUUAUUCAAAAACCAAAGACCACUCAUUUAAAAUUGGUGGUCUUAGUUUUUAAAUCUAGAGACCACCUAUUUAAAACAUUUGGUCUCUUGUCCCUUUGUAUUAUUAAU